AAAUUCCUCUCUUGGAAUACGUUUAUGGUAGGUCACUUUUUGAACCACGAUCUAAAUGCUUUGAAGAUGGAUCAUGCAAGAAAAAUUGAUACUUCACUUGUGUUUAAGUAUGAGUAUUCCGGCGGUCCGAGCAAGCCUCCAAGGCCCUCUUUCGAUAAUCUGUGCAAGUCUAUAUUUGGAUAUCAAGUGCAGGGAGCCCCCCACAAGGCAAACGCUGUCAUGCAACUUGUUCUUGCUAUAGU